rnacentral:lncRNA from 1 species
UUUUAGUAAACCGUUUUAAUGACUGUAUGAAUAUAUGCAUCACCCAAUGACAUCAAACGAUUCAAAACUAAAGACGGUACUAUUGAAAUAAUCUAAAAUCUAAAUAUAGCUUAGGACGUCCAUAAAAUGAUUGACAACAUUUAUCAUAAUUUGUGAUAAAGGGGCUUGAAAUCACUUGGGCAUGCAAGUUGAGUUGUCGAAAAUCAGAAAAGAAAAUAGUACUUUCUACAGACUUACUACUAAUUCUCUGCCCACAUCAUCAAAAAUUCUAUACAUAUCUAACUAUUAAAACUAAAAUCAAAGUGUUCCCUUACAAAAGGAUCAUCAACAAUUAGGGAUUCAGAAUCAAGAAAACCCAUAAAUUCAAACAAGACACCAUAGUUCUAUGAAGAUGCAGAUAAUGAACUCACCAUGUCUAAAUAACUGGAGCUGAGGCAAAGAAUUAGUAUCGUAUUGGAUGCGAUUGUCCUCAACAAAAACUGCAAACUUGGCGUUUCCAUUACCUUCUUCUCCAGACAUUUUCCUGAAAAUAACACAAGAAAUAUUGAUCCAAGCACCUAUAGUGCAUGUUUGGUUCGCGGUACGAGACAUGACAAGACAGCAUAAUAAACAACAUUCAAGCUUGUUUAUAUGUGAGAUCCAUCCUACAAAACAGGCCAUUAAUUUAAAUUCCAGCCAUGAUGCCCAAAAGAUGAAACAUUUAGCAGCCAAAAAUCACAUAGAACUAAGGAAAUGAUCGUAACACCAUAAAACGAGCAAUCUUGAUUUAACUGAUCGAGAUAUAGUCAAAAUUCAUUAAAACGAAGCACAAAAGCACUAAAACAACUAUACGAUCCAGAUUUUAGAAGGCAAAACUCACAGAACUAAAAGGAACAAUCUUCAAUGACACCACAAAACAUGUAAUUUUGCGUUAACUUAAGCAGACUACAAUCUGUAGAAAGAAAUGCAGUAAUACUGACUAUAUGCAAAUUAAACAGCCCACGAAUUCAAGAAACAUUCAACUCACGUUCUUCAAUUUUUUGAGCUUUGAUCAUCAAGAAAUGAAUACUACAGAAGCACUUAAAUGGCUAUUUCAACAUCCAAAUAGGAAAGUGCCCCAGGAAAAAAAAGAAAAAAAAAUCAAUUUUCCAAUAAAUUAACUCCAACCAACAACCAUAAAAUCAACUGACAGAAAAGAAAAAUCCAACAACCAUACUAAUCAAAUGAGCAAAAAUAAAUAAAUCACCAGUAUCAGCUCAGAUUUAGAUAAUCAAUAGGCAAUAGCUAUUUCAACAAUCCCAAUUAUCGCAGAAAAGGGGAAAAUCGAUUUUCCUAUAAAUCAACUGAAAGAAAGAAAAUCCAACAAUCAUACAAAUCAUAUGAGUGAAAAACACUCACCAAAUCAGUUCAGAUUUAGAUAACCAAUAACUUCAAAAGUAAGGUUAUUCUUUAAAAGGGUCUUCUUCUUCUUCUUUUUCUUGUUUGAUGAAAAAUGUGGAAAGGGAUGGCAAUAAUAACGAUAGAGAGAAGAAGCAAAUGAGAAUAAUGAAAUUGGAUGGUGGUGGAGGAGGAGUGGUUGAUGUUUCGGUUAAGAAAAACGAUUCCAUUCGUUGGUAUUGGUGUUGGUAGUGUGAGGAAGCGAAGAAGAGUGAGAAGAGGACAUGUAAUUGGAGAAAUAUUCUUCAUUUUUUAAGGCUAAAGUUCUCUCUUUCCACCCUACUUCUGGCUGUAUUGCAGCUUGCUUUUCGUUAUCUUCACCAGUUAAUUUUGUUUGUUUUCUUGUUUUGCUUGGAUUACUGGUUUUCGUUGGUUUCACCACAAAUUGACCUUUAAUUAAUGGAGAAAAAUAUU